GACAGAGGUCCCAAGCGUUAGGCGGAAUCACUGGGCUUAAAGCGUGUGUAGGCGGACUUCUAAGUCCCUUGUGAAAUCCCACGGCUCAACCGUGGAACUGCUUGGUAUACUGGUUGUCUUGGGCCAUCUAGGGGCUAGCGGAACAAACGGUGGAGCGGUGAAAUGCGUAGAUAUCGUUUGGAACGCCAAUGGUGAAAACAGCUAGCUGGGGAUGUGCCGACGCUGAGACACGAAAGCCAGGGGAGCGAACGGG
rnacentral:rRNA from 1 species